GGGGGGGGGGGGGGGGGGGGGGGGGGGGGGGGGGGGGGGCGGAGGGGGGGGGAGCGUGCGCGUGGGGCGUUAGCGGCGGGCGGGUGAGUAACACGUGGAUAACCUACCUAUAAGCCUGGGCUAACUUCGGGGAACCGGAGCUAGUACCGGAUAAUAUAUUGCACCGCAUGGUUCAAUAUUGAAAGACGGUUUUGCUGUCCAUUAUAGAUGGAUCCGCGACGCAUUAGCUAGUUUGUAAUGUAACGGCUUACCAAGGCGACGAGGCGUAGCCGACCUGAGAGGGUGUUCGGCCACACUGGAACUGAGACACGGUCCAGACUCCGACGGGAGGCAGCAGUAGGGAAUCUUCCGCAAUGGGCGAAAGCCUGACGGAGCAACGCCGCGUGAGUGAUGAAGGUCUUCGGAUCGUAAAACUCUGUUAUUAGGGAAGAACAAAUGUGUAAGUAACUAUGCACGUCUUGACGGUACCUAAUCAGAAAGCCACGGCUAACUACGUG
rnacentral:rRNA from 1 species